rnacentral:rRNA from 1 species
UACGGGAGGCAGCAGGAGGAAUAUUGGUCAAUGGUCGCAAGACUGAACCAGCCAUGCCGCGUGCAGGAAGACGGUCCUAUGGAUUGUAAACUGCUUUUAUACAGGAAGAAACCCUCCCACGUGUGGGAGCUUGACGGUACUGUAGGAAUAAGGAUCGGCUAACUCCGUGCCAGCAGCCGCGGUAAUACGGAGGAUCCAAGCGUUAUCCGGAAUCAUUGGGUUUAAAGGGUCCGUAGGCGGUCUUAUAAGUCAGUGGUGAAAGCCCAUCGCUCAACGAUGGAACUGCCAUUGAUACUGUAAGACUUGAAUGCUUAGGAAGUAACUAGAAUAUGUAGUGUAGCGGUGAAAUGCUUAGAUAUUACAUGGAAUACCAAUUGCGAAGGCAGGUUACUACUAAGUGAUUGACGCUGAUGGACGAAAGCGUGGGGAGCGAACAGGAUUAGAUACCCUGGUAGUCCACGCCGUAAACGAUGGAUACUAGCUGUUCGGCGCAAGUUGAGUGGCUAAGCGAAAGUGAUAAGUAUCCCACCUGGGGAGUACGCACGCAAGUGUG